rnacentral:rRNA from 1 species
UACGUAGGGGGCAAGCGUUGUCCGGAUUUAUUGGGCGUAAAGAGCGUGUAGGCGGCCUGUUAAGUCCUGCGUGAAAUCUCGGGGCUCAACCCCGAGCGGUCGUGAGAAACUGGCAGGCUAGAGUGCGGGAGAGGAGAGUGGAAUUCCUGGUGUAGCGGUGAAAUGCGCAGAUAUCAGGAAGAACACCCGUGGCGAAGGCGGCUCUCUGGACAGAUACUGACACUGAGGCACGAAAGCAUGGGGAGCAAACAGG